rnacentral:rRNA from 1 species
GAUGAACGCUGGCGGCGUGCCUAAUACAUGCAAGUCGAGCGAACAGAUGAGGAGCUUGCUCCUCUGACGUUAGCGGCGGACGGGUGAGUAACACGUGGAUAACCUACCUAUAAGACUGGGAUAACUUCGGGAAACCGGAGCUAAUACCGGAUAAUAUAUUGAACCGCAUGGUUCAAUAGUGAAAGACGGUUUUGCUGUCACUUAUAGAUUGAUCCGCGCCGCAUUAGCUAGUUGGUAGGUUACGGCUUACCAAGGCAACGAUGCGUAGCCGACCUGAGAGGGUGAUCGGCCACACUGGAACUGAGACACGGUCCAGACUCCUACGGGAGGCAGCAGUAGGGAAUCUUCCGCAAUGGGCGAAAGCCUGACGGAGCAACGCCGCGUGAGUGAUGAAGGUCUUCGGAUCGUAAAACUCUGUUAUUAGGGAAGAACAAAUGUGUAAGUAACUAUGCACGUCUUGACGGUACCUAAUCAGAAAGCCACGGCUAACUACGUG